GGAACAAUAGACUCGGCUCGCCCGGCUUAGGGUUCAUCUGCAAUGUGCAGCACAUUUCACACGCACACAAAAGCCGGCGGAGAGGGGAGGGGGGCGCGGCGGCGGCGGCGGCGGCGGCGCGGGGAAACGGCCACUACCGGUUGUUCCAGGGUGAGGGGUGGAGGCGAUAUUCGUUCGAGGCCCCGGCGGGGGCUGCGGGCUGAACGGCCGCCCGAGUCGCCCGCCUCCCCGCGGCUCGCCCGGCGCAGCCCCGCGGCGGCCCCGGGGAAGUCCUCUCGCACCCUCUGCAAACGUUAGGGCCGGAGGAAUCGGCCCCUCGGCUUCAGGCUUCGAUCCCGGGGCCCGAGGAGCACAUUUUCCACGGCGUGGCCAUAAAGUCACUUGGACAAACUGUAGAGCACACACACACACACUGUGAACUGCCUGCCCUACUUUUUGUGGGGAAUGGACCAGGCAGGGCUCGGAAUUGGGCUCGCCUCGGCUCGGUUUCGUGCACCCAAACCGGAGUUAUGCAAACAGUCACUGCGCCGGUUAAGAAACCACCUCUCGAACUUUGAGGAUAACGUUUAUAUGUUAUCGCACGGGCACCUUGAAAAGAGAGGGCAACGUGUUUCCCCCUUUUCCAUUUCCCGUAGUGAUCCCUAAAGGUGUCCACAGGGGAUUCAAAAUUUCAUCUCCACCAACCAACCAUCAUCUCCACCAACCACCACCCCACUUUGCAUUUUUUUUUUUUUUUUUACGAGGAUGCUGGAGCCCUCCCCUCGGCUGCACACGUUGAGCAUCCUGUUUCCUCCUGUGCGUUCGUAGUAGUCCCAUUUCAGAGACAGCCACUACUGACUGGCAAAGUCACUAGCCCAAGGUCACACGCUGAUCGAGAGUCUGGAUGGGUUCAUUCCGGGGGGGAGUCUUUCCAAUGGCACGGAUCGGGUGGCGGCAACAUACAUACAUCAAUAAAAUAUUAUGUAAUGGAGCGGAGCGUGCUUCCGGUACUCACUCUAGGAAACGGAUUUUUAUUUCCCCAAGUAAAGUUUAUGUCUGAAAUGGGGUCGGAAUCAGGUGUGGCUAGGAAAUUCCUGACACCCGAGGACCACGUUCCCACAUGGCAGACUGCCAAAUAGUGAGGCUGCACAACACAGAAUUAAGGAUACUUUCUGUCUACAGCCUGUAAGGAACUGUAUGCUGUUAUCAACCCCAUGAGGAAGCUUGGAGGAGAAGACCAGAAUUUCAAGUGUGGCUUCCACGGAAUUGCUGUGGCUUGCAAACCAUCCUAAGUCAAGGACUGCCUGGGCUCUCCUCUUCUGGAUAAGGAGGACAGAUCAGCUACGAAGAGUCGAUGAAUUCAUGCACUGAACAGCCCCGCAUGUGGGUCUCUAACUCUCACAAGUUUCCACUCUCUGCCUUCUGACUCCCAGUGUUCUCCAUGAUUCACUCCCCAGGAAAUGUAGUCACACACCCGUUACUUUGGUCCUGCCGCAUAGGAGAGGAGGUGAGUAAAUUGGCAACCGAUGGAACCAAAUAGAAAAUGCAGAAAUAGCCCUGAGUGCGCAUGGGACGUCAAACUCCGAGGAAAGCUGUUCCUGCAAUCAGUGGAGAAACACGGAGUUUUCAGAAGUGAUACUGGGACAGCGGACAUCCAUAUGGAAAAGGCAGAAAUGACUCAUCCUGUGCAUGAUACACUAGCCCGUUAGUCCAAACACUGGAGGAAAACGAUGAGAGUCCAACUUCAGACUCUGCCUGGGAUCCCCAGGAGCCACACCUGACCUAGACUCAGGGGAAUGGAUGGAACUAGAAAAAAAUCAUCCCGAGUGAAGUAACUCAGACCCAAAAAGAUAAAUAUGGGCUCCUGCACUGUACCAUGUCCUAACACGUUCCAGUUAUGGUUCGCAUGUGUUCAGUCCUCCAAGGGCUCCUGUGCUGGAAGCUUGGUCCCUAAUUCAGCUGUGUGAAGAGGCGUGGUGGUGCACACCUGCUACAGGAAGCUCACUGGGCUAGCCCCGGCUGCACAGUGAUGCUGUCUCAAGCAGACAAACAACAGAGGCUACAGAUGUAGCUCACUGGAUUCUCCAGCAUGAUUCCUCCAUGAACUCACCUCAGGCAGCCUGAGGCCGUCAAUCAGCCAUCUCACCUCUUCCUCUGCCUCUGUCCCCAGUCACAUGAAAGCAUGUGAAGGAGCGUCCCACCGACACCACCCUAUGGAGGAGAGCCGUACUCCCUGUGUGCCAGCAUGCUGCCUGGGUUGUGUCCUCCACAGCUCUUCUUUGCAGAAGGCACUUGGGGACUGUGCGUGGAAGACUGGGCUAGGGGAGAGUCAGCAGGCACCCGGCCUCUUCUGAGGUGCCCUCCUGCAUCCACAGGAAGUUUGUCCACCGAAAGUUUGCAGUGACCCAGAAGCUGUUAAAGCUUCCAGCUGUGAGCACCGGUAGGUAAGCACUGUGAUCUUAAAUGGUGUCAGAGGACAGGAGGCAUGACUGUCCUCUGCAGCAAGCACUUCCUUGCCUGAACCACAGACCCACCUUUGUAUCCCAGAUCUCACAGGUCACUCUCUUUAAAGUUUUUGGAACUUUUUUCCUUUAAAAAAAAGUAUGUCGCUGCAAACAUGGCUUUUUUUUUUUUUAAAGUAAAUAAGCAGAAGAAAGGACAAACUUAUUUAUUACAGUCUUUAGUUAUGAAGAAAUUUGUUGAGACGUUUAUGUUUUUAAACCAUCUUAAUUGGCUUAAUUUUCAAGUUUGGAAUUAUCCCACACUCGGUUCUGUAACAGGAUAAGAAGCAUGUGUUUUUACAGAUAGAAAGGGUGUAAACAGAAACAAAAGAGUAGGAUCGCUUAGGUCCCUUGAGUAGACCGAUCCGUUUUUAUCCUGGCCUCUUCUUUCCUGGGCUUUCCUCUCACCCACCUUCUGUGUCAUCAUCACUGAUAACUCCUUCUUCGUUUGACUGUAAAGUACAGCUGCUUUGCUCGUGAACGAGUGUGAAGAUUGUUGUACCCAUGUUGCAGAAUCCCCAGAGACCACCGAGGAGCCAGUUUCCGAUGCAAGCACACAAGGGUCUUUUUAUUCUCAGACUCAAACAUGGACCACCACCCUAGGCUCCGACACAAAUGGAGGGAAAUGUGGCAGCGGCGGAGGCGGGCUCAGGGGUAGGAGAGUUUUUAAAGGAAAAAAAAAAAACACAAGCCGGGAAUUACAUGCCUUGGUGUUUGGAGAUUGGGUGGAAGGGAUAUGUGGCAAGGUGAUUUUUUUUUUUAAACUAUUGGUCUAGACUUUUGGUGCAAAACUACAUUUGAAACGAUUGGGUUAGACUUUUGGCGUGGAACCAUAACCUGCAGACAGAAUUAUCUGGAUAUCUGCAAGGGCCAUAAACUGUCCGCAGGAUGUCUUUAGGAGUAUCUGGAUCUUGUUAAACUUUACUGCCUGGUUUCUUAAUUGGCUGCUUCUAGGGUAUCUGUUCCAGUUGUCAUGGCACAUUCCUGAGGUCCUUCCUGGAACUGAGUAUGGCCCCCAGUCACCAGGUGGUCUAAGAUGGUGGCCUUUCCCUAAGAUGGAGUCUGUAAAGUCAAGUUUAGGUCUUCAUAUGGCCUUCACAAAUAUCUGUCUGUGCUGAUGGCUGGUGGCAAGCCUGGAGGAAGAGCCAGCAUGAUAGUGUAAGGACCUCAUGUUGAUACUGUUCUGCUACAGAUAAAGUACUGUUUCAAAGCCUGGAGACUCCCUUAUGAUUUGGACAGGAGUAUUUCAAGUGUCCCAUGUUAUUGGAUAUCUGCCGCUGCUGGUGUAAUAAGCCAAUCAAACUGAACUGAUAAAUCCAGGUUUAAUGAACAGAGCAAAGGAACUCCUGGGUGCCCCUUAGGAGGGCAGAAGAGGAAUCACAUGGCAAAUAUGGCUACCAGGUCUUAAAUAGCCUGCAGGUGUGGUCUUAAGUAGCCCCAGGGAGGGGCUGACUUUGGGGGGGGGCUUUCUCAGAGGGAGGGAUUUGGAGGGUGCAGUUCCAGGAGAUAUCCCCAACAGGUACCAUUUUGGGAGGUCUGGGAGAUUUUAGGAGGUGGAUCUAGGUAAAGGAAGUAGGUUACUGGGGCUGUGUAUUAGAAGGUUUAUGGACUUGGUCCCCAGUCCCUUCCUGGAUCCCUGCUUCCUGUUCACUGUGAAGUAAACAGCCUCUUCCCCUACACACUUGAUGUUCUGCCCAAGCACCUGGGACAAAGUGACUUGGACUAAGAUCUCUGAAACUGUCACCCAGCUGGAACCCGUCUUCCCUUCAGACAUUUCUGUCAUACAUUUUACCACAGCAUCGAGUAAAUGAACCAAAACACACACCAAACCCCAUCGCCCUUUCUCCUGACUUCCUCCCGCUCUCUUCAACAAGGCCAGAUGGCUUCUGAAGACCCAACUCAAAUACCAUCUUCUCUAUGCAGCCUUCGCAUCCCUCCCAGGAAGAGGAAAUGAUACAUCAUUAUCGCCUCCAGGGACGCAAACUGACCAGCGAAAACUCCAUGGAGCAGCCACCUUUUCGGGUGGCUGCUCAAUCCAGGGAUGGAGAACGUACAGAAAUGUGCUGUGAGAGGAUCAGGUAGCUUUGAGAGCACUAGAGAAGCGAGAGCUAAUUGCGGGGCCAUUGACAUCUAUUUAAAAAGCUGCCUGUUGUAUGUGACCGUUCUUUGAGCCACGAAACUGGCAUCUUGGAGUUCGGCUGCGCCCAUCGGGCGAGAUGAUUAUGCCAGCUGGGCUUGUUGACCGUUGACACGGCGCUCAUGGGGUGAGGAGGGUCACGAGACCCUCACCUGAGUAUCCAGCUGCUCCCCAUUACCUGCUGUAGACAACCCUGCUUCAAUUGCUCGUGGCCUCCAGGAGGGGGUGGCGGGUAUCAACCAGGGAAGACUUGGGGAGGGGGCCACCAUCUGUGAGGCGAAGAGGAAGCCCUAUGCCUGCUGGGUAAAGGCUUUUCAAGUGCAGCCUGUUGGGGGAGGGGACACCUCCUGUAGGUAACCCCCCUCACCUAGUCUUCCUGAGGACGCCUCAAUAAACUCAUUGGUUCCCUGGAGAGAAUUCUGACAGAAUCGUGCCUCCAUUUGUCAUGAGGACCUGAGGAGAAGAGGUAGACAUUGCUUAUGCUCCCAGGAAAGAAUUUUAGUAACUCUGCUGCAUAGGUAGGAGUAGGAAAUAAUUUGCUUUGCUUAUUGCCAUAAAGAUUUAUGACAGUCAUUUGUCUAACUCAUUUGCCUAGGAAGAGUGGCCGGGCUCCUGUGGGUAGAGCUCCCUAACUCUGAGCUGGUGGUCACUACAUCCCUUCAGGGAUGAUGACAUCCCCUUCCUGCUCCCCUGAGCUUUCCCCCUUCCUCCUUCCCCCUCCCUCCUCCUCCUCUUCUCCCUUUACUGUAAUGGCUGCUCAUAGAAUGGAUUACGGCUGAAAGCAAAUUCAUAUUUUGUGAUUUUUUUUUUCUAUCUUAAAUUGUGAACUUCCUUCAGACACUGGCUUGCCAGUGUUUUGGUGAUAAUAAAGGCGGUAUUUAUUGAGCAUUA